rnacentral:rRNA from 1 species
UACGGGGGGGGCAAGCGUUGUUCGGAAUUACUGGGCGUAAAGGGCUCGUAGGCGGCCAACUAAGUCAGACGUGAAAUCCCUCGGCUUAACCGGGGAACUGCGUCUGAUACUGGAUGGCUUGAGUUCGGGAGAGGGAUGCGGAAUUCCAGGUGUAGCGGUGAAAUGCGUAGAUAUCUGGAGGAACACCGGUGGCGAAGGCGGCAUCCUGGACCGAUACUGACGCUGAGGAGCGAAAGCCAGGGGAGCAAACGGG